CUACGGGUGGCUCCAGCUAAGAAUCUUCCGCAAUGGACGAAAGUCUGACGGAGCGACGCCGCGUGAACGAUGAAGGCCGUGAGGUUGUAAAGUUCUUUUCCGAGGGGAGAAUAAGGAUGGCAGGGAAUGGCCGUCUGAUGACGUGAACUCGGGAAUAAGCCCCGGCUAACUACGUGCCAGCAGCCGCGGUAACACGUAGGGGGCGAGCGUUGUUCGGAAUCAUUGGGCGUAAAGGGUGCGCAGGCGGUGACGCAAGUCUGGUGUGAAAGAUCUCGGCUCAACCGGGGGAACGCGCUGGAACUGUGUCACUAGAGUACAGGAGGGGGAGUUGGAAUUCCAGGUGUAGGGGUGAAAUCUGUAGAUAUCUGGAAGAACACCGGUGGCGAAGGCGAACUUCUGGCCAUGUACUGACGCUGAGGCACGAAGGCGUGGGGAGCAAACAGGAUUAGAUACCCUCGUAGUC
rnacentral:rRNA from 1 species